CAGUUCGGAUUGAAGGCUGAAAUUCGCCUUCAUGAAGCCGGAAUUGCUAGUAAUGGCAGGUCAGCAUACUGCCGUGAAUACGUUCCCGGGCCUUGUACACACCACCCGUCACACCAUGAGAGUUGGGAAUACCCGAAGCCUGUGAGCUAACGUAAGAGGCAGCAGUCGAAGGUAGAAUCAAUGAUUGGGGUGAAGUCGUAACAAGGUAGC
rnacentral:rRNA from 1 species